rnacentral:rRNA from 1 species
ACGCUCGACACCGAGGCAGCAGUGAGGAAUAUUGGUCAAUGGGCGCUAGCCUGAACCAGCCAAGUAGCGUGAAGGAUGAAGGCUCUAUGGGUCGUAAACUUCUUUUAUAUAAGAAUAAAGUGCAGUAUGUAUACUGUUUUGUAUGUAUUAUAUGAAUAAGGAUCGGCUAACUCCGUGCCAGCAGCCGCGGUAAUCUGAGCGGGCUGGCAAGGC